rfam:Triticum aestivum genome assembly, contig: Triticum_aestivum_CS42_TGACv1_scaffold_577896_7BL
ACUGUACUUCCUCCGUCCAAAAAUUCUUGUCUUAAAUUUGUCUAAAUACGAAUGUAUGAAGUCAUGUUUUAGUAUUAGGUACAUCCAUAUCUAGACAAAUCCAAGACAGGAAUUUUGAGACGGAGGGAGUACAUA